AACCCCAUGGCCGGCCAUCCAUAAACAACGGCCACGAGCCACCGCCCGUCCUCAACCACCGGCGGCCAGCCUAAGACCGCCGUCCCUACUGCCGGUGAGCCAGUUGUAGUCCCUUUGAGGCAUGAUCGACGAUGAAGGAGGAUCCCAAAACCGGCGCUCCGCCCCUCCAAAUCGCCGCCGGCGGUCGCCGCAAAAUCUCAAUCGGCGGACCGCCACCCUCUCCACAAUGUCCUUUACCGAUUUCCCGAUGAGUACGCUGGAAAUAGGCCGUCGAUUGAAGAUCGAUGGAGGGGUUUCAUAAAUGGUGGUCUCCUCCCACCAAACCGAUGGGCGGCCACCGGAAAAGACUGAUCGGCGGACCGCCGCCCUCUCCCCAGGGGUUCGGCGAGGUUUUCCUCCGAUGAGGAAGAGAGAGGACCCCGGCAAACCAAAAUCUGGUGAGUCCAUCCUCUCUUCUCACCAUCCAUUCCUUUUUCCCUUUUUUUUUUAUUGGUUCAACAGAGGGGAGGUGUCCUGACGCUGCGAACUCACCGUCGGCCCGUCCCGCGGCGGCCGAAGUUCGACCAGAGUCUGGCCAACGAGAUGAUUGGGGAAGGUAUACUGCCGGUUGCCGGAUAUAGGCCGGAUGUUCGGCCAUCUUCAUGGGGAGGGAGGACAGCUACGGAGCUGUUCAUCCCCUCUCAUGAUUAUUUAUUUAACAAGUCUACAUCACCGGCCCAAAUUAAACAAACAAAAAUCUUGAUUCUUCAUGGAAUCCAGGAGCAGAUCCUGUUCGUAUAACAUAUAAAAUUUUUUCAAGAUUAUAGACCGAAUAAAAUAACAUAAAAACUGCUCUGAAAUCGCUGAACGUAGGAAAUCUUAAUCUUUAAUGCAGAAAGAAUUGUAUUCCCAACCAUUGUUAUUCAAAUCCAAAACGAAUCAAUGAUCUUCAGAGCCGGAAAUGAUUUGUAACCUGCGAUCACAUAAGAAUCAAUCUUGGAUGUUCUCUCGUUAUCAACGAGCAGUGUCUUCAUUUUUUUUGACCCUAAUUUAAAUAUUUUCAAUGGAAAAGAUCUCAUAAGCUCUCGAUGGAUAGAGAAUCAAGUCUGUAGAAAUCCUUUUAUAAUGUAUCUCAUCCAGCAAAGAUACUAUCUAAAUCGAUUAUAAAGACUAAAAGAUAGAUUUUAUCUAUAAUGAUUAUAUUAAGCUCAACUUUAUCAAACCAUCUAAUAUAUUUCUACUAUUUUUUCGAAGAUUUAUCUUUAGUCAGAAUCCACAUCAAUUAAAUCAUAUAAAACAAAUCCCAAUACGUAUUAGUGUGGGACAGGAUGGGUAUGAUCAAAAAAAUCACAAUAUCUCUCUUUUGAGCUGGACACAUGGCUUUGGAAGUGGAAUGUAAAUGGCAUAUACCAUGUAAGAUCUGGUUACAACUUUUUCUCCAAUCAUGGAGUGAUCCCACACAUUGGCAAUUUCUUUUGAAACUCUCUAUUCCUGAGAAGGCAAAACUCUUCUCCUGGCUCUGCUACCAUGACAGAAUACUGACGAAAGAGAACCUAGUUAAAAGAGAUGUCAACAUCACUAGAAGGUGUCCCCUCUGUAACGAGCAAGGAAAAUCCCUGAACUACCUUGUGACAUCUCGAAUCAAGAAUGUGGUGAUCUAAAGAAUUUGCAUUCGCAUUCGCAUUUGGUAUUUAUUCAUAUAUAUGGCAUAACAUUUCAUUCAUGAUACACUUGAGUAUUUAAAUUUCAAUUGAUUAGCAUUAAUGAAGUAUAAAUUCAUUUGAUACUUCAGGAAGAAAUUGAUUAAGAGAUUGAAGUUGAAUUUUGAUGACCAUUUAAAGUAGAAUGAACUGAUCUUUUGCAAGAUAUUUUAGGUAAUAUAUAUAUAUAUGUGUAGGAGUUUGUGGGGAGUCGACUCAAGCUUCAGGUGAGUCAACUCAUCUGCAGAAAAAUAGCAAGUCAGGGUGGAUCCCAAAUGUUCUAAAGCUCUAAUUUAAAAAGAAUUCUUAAAGGGCUAACUAGUUGUGUUAUUUUAUAAAGAAAGAGCUGAAAUUUUUUUUAGGAGCGUCUCAGCAAGUUCAUUAAUUGCUAGCUUUCUAUAAGGGUGACACUUAGCAAGCUAUUCCUUAUUUUAUUUUAUAUUUCAAACUCUAACCACAUGUCCCUCUUUGUAGUCAUUUUAAUUCAUUAAUUAAAGCAGAAAGAAUAGAGAGAGAAAGAUGCUGGAGAAGGUAAUAUUUUCAGCUAGAAAUUAAGGAGAAUUCAGUUGGAAAAGGAGAUUUUGAUUUGAAAUAAAAAGAGUUGCUGAAAUUUGCUUAUUGUGGAAAAAGGAAGAGAUCUGCAUUGAUAGCAGUAGGAUUUCAACCAUUUGAGGUAAGGAUUUUACUCCCCAAACAAGAUCUAAGCUGAAUCUUGAAUAAUUACUAUUAGAUUUGAUGCUUUGAAAAAUCGAAUUAUGAGCUUAAACUUGAAUAGGAGGAUGAAUUGCUACUGCCAAUUUUGCUGAAAUCAGUUUGAAAUAUUUCACUAAAUAGGUUGGGAUUGUGUUGGCUGAAUUUGGGAUAAAUUAUGAAAAUGAAAUACAGUUGAAUUGCUGAAAAUUUGAAAGUUUAUAUUGAGGUUUAGCUAACCCUAAGCUAGGAUAAAUAGAGUAGAACAGAAAUAAGAAUUAAAAGAGCUAAAGGAUAGGCAUAAAAAGCAAAAGCAAGCAUUCUCAUAUUCAUGUGUCACGUAAGCAUUUCAUUAAUAUAUGUAUAUCAAUUUUAUAGGAGAGAAAGAAGACCCAAGGGGUGAUUUGGGUGAAUUAAGCACCAAGGUGGUGCGAUAGCUAUCUAGAGGUGAGUGGGUUUUUUUAUCUAAUCUUGAUAUUUUUCUUACUAUACUUUGCUACGAAAGAGAUUGAGUUUGAAGAAGAAAGUUAGAUUUCUGCUAUUCUAUAGUUUAUAUAUACACACACACACACACACACACACACACACACCANNNNNNNNNNNNNNNNNNNNAAGAAGUUAAGUAAGUUUACUUUCGUCUAUUCUAUAGUUAUUAUAUAUACACACACACACACACACACACACACACACACCCACCUACAAGCUUGAAAAUAGGAAGUGAUUCUUAUUUGAAAUGUUAUUCAAGUAUAUGUAUGUAUAUGUGUACUAGUUUGGAUAGCAUAGCAUUUUUGAUGUUAAAAUAUUUUUUAAAUCAAUUUAGCAGCAUUUGGAGAAUCUAUUGAGCAUUAUUUCGAAAAGGCUACCUAUAGGAGUGAUCAACCUAUAGGGUAUGCCGCAGCAUCAGUGAUAUAUAUACAGCAGAAAAAUAGCUAGCACCAUAAAUAGCAAAAAAAUAGUGUAAAUUCAGUACAUCCAGUGGGGCUCAGCAGUAUCAGUUGCUACGUAUCAUCUGCCAUUGGAGUGGUAUUCUGUAGUGUAGUCGAUAGUAGCCCAGCAGUAUUUUUCUCAACAAAAUGAUUUACUCUAUGAUUUUAUUCUUAUUUAGCUUAUAAAUAUUUGGAAAGUAUAUCAGCAAUAUAGCUAUAUGCAAUGAUGAGUAUUAAAGUUAAGCUUUUUUGUUUUUCUACUGUUAAAUGGAUUAUCCAUUCACUGGGACUUAGGUCUCAUUCCCCAUCACUUCUUUUGUUUACAGAUUUGGUGUAUUUUAGGCAGACAUAGAAGUAAAGCAUGAGCAUUCUCAUUAGCUUUCAUACUAGAGGAGGUUGGUCAUAUCUGCUAGAGAGAGAGGAGCUCAUUUUUGGUCUUAUCAGCUAGUACGAGGCACAUUUCAUCAUGUUAGUUUGUGAGAGGAGUAUUUUGAGAUUUGAUGUAUAUUUUGAGUUUGUUCAAAUCAGAAAAUGUGGAUGUAUCAUGUUUUAAAGCCUUAUGUAUAAAGUUAUGGC
rnacentral:lncRNA from 1 species